UCGGGAAUUUAGGGCAAUGGGCGAAAGCCUGACCCAGCAACGCCGCGUGAAGGAUGAAAUCCUUCGGGAUGUAAACUUCGCAAGAAUGGGAAGAAUGAACGAGCGCUAAUACCGUUCGUGAUGACGGUACCAUUUGUAAGCUCCGGCUAACUCCGUGCCAGCAGCCGCGGUAAUACGGGGGGAGCAAGCGUUGUUCGGAUUUACUGGGCGUAAAGGGCGCGUAGGCGGCCAGCGCAAGUCAGUUGUGGAAUCUCCGGGCUUAACUCGGAACGGUCAACUGAUACUGCGCGGCUAGAGUGCGGAAGGGGCAACUGGAAUUCUCGGUGUAGCGGUGAAAUGCGUAGAUAUCGAGAGGAACACCUGCGGCGAAGGCGGGUUGCUGGGCCGACACUGACGCUGAUGCGCGAAAGCCAGGGGAGCGAACGGGAUUAGAUACCCCGGUAGUCCUGGCCUUAAACGAUGGAUGCUUGGUGUCUGGAGUUUUAUAGUCUCCGGGUGCCGUAGCUAACGCGUUAAGCAUCCCGCCUGGGGAGUACGGUCGCAAGACUGC
rnacentral:rRNA from 1 species